GGUUAAGUGUUAAGUGGUCUUCUUAAUGCUCUGCCCACUAAAGGUGAUGUCACUGGAACCAUGAGGGUCUCCCACGGAUUCCAGCACCAUCUUGUUGCACGAGGUAGUUAGUUGGUGUUAUAGGAAGGGAGGGGUUAGAAGCUUCUAGUAGCCAUUUUGUCUAGAUAUGCGUGUGUAGCUUAUAUACUGAUUUUAGUGAGAUGAGUAAAUAUACAUUUUACUAACUAGAAAAUAUAUC